rnacentral:rRNA from 1 species
AGAGUUUGAUCCUGGCUCAGAUUGAACGUUGGCGGUAUGCUUAAGACAUGCAAGUCGAACGGUAACAGGCAGAGCUUGCUCUGUGCUGACGAGUGGCGGACGGGUGAGUAACACGUGGAAAUCUACCCAGUAGCGGGGGAUAAGUCAGAGAAAUUUGAUUUAAUACCGCAUACGUCCUACGGGAGAAAGGCUUCGGCCACUAUUGGAUGAGUCCGCGUUAGAUUAGCUGGAUGGUGAGGUAAUGGCUCACCAUGGCGACGAUCUAUAGCUGGUCUGAGAGGAUGAUACAGCCACAUUGGGACUGAGACACGGCCCAGACUCCUACGGGAGGCAGCAGUCGGGAAUAUUGGACAAUGGGCGAAAGCCUGAUCCAGCAAUACCGCGUGUGUGAAGAAGGCCUGCGGGUUGUAAAGCACUACGCAGUAGGGAAGAUAAUGACGUUACCUACAGAAGAAGCACCGGCUAACUCCGUGCCAGCAGCCGCGGUAAUAC